GACGCCCAGUGUCAAGGAAUGGAUUAGAGGCUACCCAGAAUUCAAAUAUCAAAGUGGUAAAUUAUUUUAUCGCGCUUGCAGUAAAAUGAUUCAGUGUGACAAAAAAGAACAUAAUUCAACAUGUAAAAACUAGUUUGCAUAAAGCAGUAUUUAAAAGACUAAAUAAUAAACCGAAGCAGACAACGAUUGCUGAAAGUCAUCUUCUGGAUAUAGAGCCCAGAAAGAGUUUAAUAUGCAGAGUCAUAGUCCAAUCUAAUAUACCCUUGAAUAAAUUGAAGAAUGUGGGGUUCAAAACAUUUUUGGAAAAAUACUCUAGGAUUGACGUACCAGACGAAAGCACACUUCGCAAAAAUUAUAUACAAUGGGUGUAUAAUGAAGCUAUUAAGCAAAUAAGAGAAGGAAUUGAAAGCAAUUACAUUUGGUUUGCAGUUGAUGAAACAACGGACGUUUGUGGCCGAUACAUAGCAAAUUUAAUUGUAGGACUGAUGCAUGAAGAAGAACCGAGACAAGGAUAUCUCGUUUGUUCGCAAGAAUUGGAAGCAACAAACAAUAACACUGUUUCUAGAUUUAUCCAUGAAUCAUUA